UUUGUUUCCUGGCAGGGGAGAUUCUAUGCUCAAGAAUGUGGUCCUCCCAGGCUGAGGCUCUUCCACUGCACUUCGGUAGAGCUGACUCCUGCAAAUUGCCCAAAUGUGGCAACCUCAACUGCAUCAUUUCUGGUUGUGGGGAACUACGUUCGUGCUAUCCCCUA
ensembl:snRNA U1 U1 spliceosomal RNA